rnacentral:tRNA from 1 species
CAUAGUGUAGCUUAAAUUAAAGCCCCUGGUUUACACCCAGAAGACUCCAUUCCAAUGGACACUUUGA